rnacentral:rRNA from 1 species
GAUGAACGCUGGCGGCGUGCUUAACACAUGCAAGUCGAACGGAAAGGCCCAAGCUUGCUUGGGUACUCGAUUGGCGAACGGGGGAGUAACACGUGGGUGAUCUGCUCUGCACUUCCGUAUAAGCCUGCGAAGCUGGGUCUACGAUCGGAUAGGACCACACCUAGGGUGGUGUGGUGGGAAUUUUUUCGGUGUGGGAUGAGCUCGCGGCCUAUCAGCGUGUUGGUGGGGUGAUGGCCUACCAACGCGUCGACGGGUAGCCGGCCUGAGAGGGUGUACGGUCACCUUGGGACUGAGGGACGGCCCAGGCUCCGAAGGGAGGCAGAAGUGGGGAAUAUUGAACCAUGGGCGCAGGCCUGAUGCAGCGACGCCGCGUGGGGGAUAACGGCCUUGGGGUUGUAAACACCCUUCGCUAGGGACGAAGCCUUAUGUGACGGUACCUAAAGAAGAAGCACCGGCUAACUACGUG